rnacentral:misc_RNA from 1 species
CUGCAACAACAGCAUCUGUUAUCUGUGGCCAUGAUAUAGAAAAUUCAUUAUCAAAAACUAAUUGAGCAAAAAAUCCAUUAUAAUGGCAACAUUUAAAGUGAAUUAUCCAUUGAAAAGUGAAUCAUGAUUACCCAUAAAAGCCAUAGAACUUAAUUGGAUAUGAUGCCCCUAAUAUUAUAUUCACAUUCAUAUACAGUGAACUGGGUUUCUGACCAAGUCUGUCUAUCAAUAAUAUCACAAAUUAUCCCACUACCGUUUAUCCACACAACGGAACAAAAUGAAAAGGUAAAUCGUGUUGCAUCCCCAAUACAAAUAAAGAAAAGACAUCAAUACUGUCGAUUAUUUUUUCCAGAUGUAAUAAAUCUAUAAUCCAGGGAAAAGUGACAUGACAAAAGGUGCAAGCUCAACUCCAUCCCCC